UACGUAGGCAGCGAGCGUUGUUCGGUGUUACUGGGCGUAAAGCGUGCGUAGGCGGUGCCAUAAGUCUGUUGUGAAAUCUCCCGGCUUAACUGGGAGGGUGCGGUGGAAACUGUGGUGCUGGAGUGUGGGAGAGGUAGGCGGAAUUCCUGGUGUAGCGGUGAAAUGCGUAGAUAUCGGGAGGAACACCAGUGGCGAAGGCGACUUCCUGGCCUGUUCUUGACGCUGAGGCGCGAAAGCUAGGGUAGCAAACGGG
rnacentral:rRNA from 1 species